rnacentral:lncRNA from 1 species
AUAUAUAUAUAUAUAUAUAUUUAUAUAUAUAUAUCAAACAAAGGUGAUGCAUACACAUAGAAACUCACUCCCAGUCAUAACCAAGCACACAGCACCAUAAAUAUAGACAUACAAACGAGCUAUUAUACACAACUACUCAUAUUAACUCAAACACACGCGCGCACAUACACACGCACACACAUAUACACACAAAUAAAAUUAUUUUUGUCUUUCUCAGUCUUUAAGAAGUUUUCAUGUUAUAUCUCUACUUUCACUUUCACUUUCACAAUGAACAUUAAGACAAUAGAUUGUAACUGACAUUGUAUAUAUAUAUAUAUAUAUAUUGGUAUACUUUUCUAUUAUUAUUGUUCAGAAAGUAAAAAGCGGUAUUUGUUCCGGCUUUUUACGUUCCGGUUUCAAAUCUCUCCAAAGGUGAAUGUUAAUUUUCGACCCUCCAGGAUCGAUAAUAUAAAGGACAAUUAUACACUGAGUCUACUAAUCGACAAAAUCACCGCCCCGCCAGCGAAAUCCCCCCCCCCCACGAGAGUUCCGGAUCCCAGUUAUGAACAAUUUGCAUACAACCAAUCAGAACUCAACUAUCAAACUAAUUUAAGAAUGCAUAAGUGAUGGGCGAUAAGAUAAGGUCACUUGGAUUAGGAAAGACCAUGCUUCUUUCCUCUUUUUAAUAAUGCUUGUUGUUCUUGUUUCAACCAUGGCUGCCUCUGCGUAAGUAUUUGUGUUGUUGUUUAUUUUGUAAAACAAUAAGGGGAGAGGGUUGCUCACACGUCACCCUCAAUUCCCAUCCACAUCCUUACCAUACGAAGCCCUAACAAAAUCCGAUGAUAGUUAUAGAUGCAAAUUUGACUCCUUCUAAAAUCAGGCAUAACUUGGCGAUCGGUCGACUUACAACACCGUUCUUCGUCUUGAGUUUACUUGGUAGAGUGUUUUACCAAUAGAUUGGUUGUUUUUAACACGUUCACGAAUGUCAUGUUGGGCUUUGUGUCUAGGCAUAAUCUGAGAGCUGAACGGAUCUGAUCGUUCGUUAUCUGCAUGGCUGUCUCUGCGCAGUUGUUUGUGUUCAACAAGGUUAAGGUGAUCUCUGAUUGGCUGUAUGCAAAUGGGUUCAUUACUGGGAUCCGGAACUCAGGUUGUAAAAAAUUUCGCUUCCCAAGAUUUUUAACCUCAUUGAAGCAGAAUCGUCAGUGCAUCAGGCAUUUCAUCAGUCCCUUUAUGUCCCAAGUUCAACUUUGCCUUUCUCCGAAUCGAGGGUUCGAUAAAAUAAGGUACGCAUUAAGUGCUGGGUUCGUUAUCAUUGAGGUAUUUCCUACUCUAGAAAUUACUGGCCUUGUGCCAAAAUUUGGCAGCAUCUUUAGCGGACUGGACAAAAUAGCAACACUUUGCUCAUCUUCACGUUUUGAGUUCAAAACGUAAGCCGAGGUCGACUUUGCCUUUCAUCCUUUUGGGGCCGAUAAAAUAAACAACAGUUGAGCGCUAGGGUCGAUUUACACGACUUAUCCAAAACUGCUGGCCUUGUGCCAAAAUUUGAAACCAUUAUUAUUAUUAUUGUUGUUAAGGCGGUGAGCAGGCAGAAUAGUUAGCACGCUGGACGAAAUACUUAUCGGUAUUUCGCCCGUCGCUACGUUCUGAGUUCAAAUUCCACCGGGAUCCACUUUGCUUUUCGUCGUUUCGGGGUUGAGCAAAUAAGUACCAGUUACGCACUGGGGUCGAUGUAAUCAACUUAAUCCCUUACCCCAUAGUUGAGGCCUUGUGCUUCCAGUAGAAAGAAUUAUUAUCAUCGUUAUUAUUGCAGCAAGUUGGCAGAAUCGUUAAGAACGCUGGACGAAAUGCUUAGCGGCAUUUUGCCCGUCUUUACGUUCUGAGUUCAAAUUCCACCGAAGUCGACUUUGCAUUUCUUCCCUUCGGGAUCGAUAAAUUAAGUACCAGUGAAACACUGGGGUCGAUGUAAUCGACUAGUCCUUUGCAGAGAAAAUUCAGGCCUUGUGCGUUUAGUAGAAAAGAUUAUUAUUAUUGUUGUUAUUGUCGUUCUUCUUGUAGUCUUCGUAGUUGUCAUCAUCAUCAUCAUCAUUAUCAUCACCCCUACAAAGCAACGAGGAUGCCUGGAACAAAUAGCUUGGCUUUCUUUUAACAUUUGAGAUUACAUAGAAAGUAUUUUAUAUAGGACAUGGGCAGUUCCAUGGAGCGCUAUCUUUUGAAUUUCUGCCAUGUUUGUGUUUCCUUGUAUCUGAGUUAGGUAGCAAUCAGCCCCUUUUGCUAUCAUUCCCAGGGCACCUAUGACAACAAGUAUUAUUUUAGUCUUGAGGUUCCACAUUUAGCCAAUUUGUAUUUCAAGAUCUUUUUACUUGCUCAGUUUUUAUUAGGUCUUGACAGAUACAUUUAUGUCGAUUGGGACAGUCAUAUCAAUGAGGAGGCAUGAUUUUUGUCUGAAGUCUUUCAAUAUAAUGUCUGCCCUAUUCGUAUCUAUCUUUAUGUCAGUUUGAAUGGUGAAGUUGGUUCCUACCAGUUUUUUUAUCAUGGGACAGGUCCAGAUUUUUGCAAAUUACCCAGUACAUAUACUGUGCUGCUCUAUCAUGCCCGUUAAGACACUCUGUAGGCGCAAGAAUACUGUACAUGGAGACAAGAUGAAUGGUUUAAUUUUGUUGUUAACAUACAUAUGUUGGGCUACUGACGUUCUUUAAUAUGUUAGCCUGGCAGUUUCUUGUAGGUAGACAUUGAUCUUCUUCUUCUUCUUCUUCUUCUUCUUCUUCUUAUUAUUAUUAUUAUUAUUAUUAUUAUUAUUAUUAUUAUUAUUAUUAUUAUUAUUAUUAUUAUCAUUAUUAUUAUGAAUCGACUCCAGUACUUAUUUUUUAAAGUCUAGUACUUAUUCUAUCGGUCUCUUUAGUCGAAACACUAAGUUACAGGGAUGUAAAUACACCAAUACCAGUUGUCAAGCGGUGGUGGUGUAUACAGACACAAAGACACACGCACACAUAGAUAUAUGUACAUAUUCAUAUAUAUGACGGGCUUCUUUCAGUUUCCGUCUACCAAAUCCACUCACAAGGGUUUGGCCGGCCCGAGGCUAUUGAAGAAGGCAGACGCCCAAAAAUCACGCGGUGGACUGAAACCGGAACCAUGUGGUUGGGAAGCAAGCAUUCUUACCCACCCCCCACACACACAUACACACACACACAUACAAACACACACACACAUACACACACACACACAUAUAUAUAUAUAUACACACAUAUACUUACAUAUAUAUAUACACAUAUACAUAUACAUGCAUACUUAUGUAUAUGUAUAUAUAUAUAUGCAUAUAUGUAUAUAUAUGUAUAUGUGUAUGUAUGUAUAUAUAUAUCAUAAAAUUUUUAUGAUAGAUAAAAUUGUUUUUAUAUAAACAAUAAUGAUUUCUAAGUUGGGAAGUUGGGUAAAAGCCCACAAAUUCGAACGGAAGCAGCAUAAUCGAUAGAAUAUUCUCACAACAUUACUACAGCUACUGAAUUUAUCGACCCCAGAGGAGAGAAAUUCAGUGUCUGUUUCGGUCGGAUUUGUCCCAAGAACGUAAAGAUAUGUAAAUAUGUAAAUAUGUAUCACUACUUGGAGAAUGUAAGACAUUCUGAAUGUAAGAAAUUCAGCAGUGAUAUAAAUAUUAGUAGCACUUUUAGACGAAUUUGAUAAAGCUACUUGAGGAAGACGUAAUCUGAAAGCAUCCGUCUCUAGAAACGGAAAGUUAGAACCAGGAGUGGCUGUGUGGUACGUAGCUUGCUAACCGACCACAUGGUUCCGGGUUCAGUCCCACUGCGUGGCAUCUUGGGCAAGUGUCUUCUCCUAUAGCCCCGGGCCGACCAAUGCCUUGUGAGUGGAUUUGGUAGACGGAAACUGAAAAGAAGCCUGUCGUAUAUAUGUAUAUAUAUAUAUAUGUGUUUGUGUGUCUGUGGUUGUCCCCUAGCAUUGCUUGACAACCGAUGCUGGUGUGUUUACGUCCCCGUCACUUAGCGGUUCGGCAAAAGAGACCGAUAGAAUAAGUACUGGGUUUACAAAGAAUAAGUCCCGGGGUCGAUUUGCUCGACUAAAGGCGGUGCUCCAGCAUGGCCGCAGUCAAAUGACUGAAACAAGUAAAAAGAGAAAAAGAGAGUAUACGUGUAUUUAGUACUAGAGGAAUUUUGUAAGAUAUAACACUGAGAGUUUUAGGCUGUAAUUAAUAAAGUACGGGGUGACAGUGUUAAGCAGUGAUGUAUAUAAAUACAAACUUGUUAACAGUUCAAAUAUGAUUGAAGCACAUUCGAAGCCAUUCAAUGUAUUUGGUCAUGGAGAAAAUUUUUCACUGUAGACAAAUAGGUUUAAUUACGGAGUGGGGAGCGCUAAACAUUGAUAAGUGAAAUUACUGGAUGGAAGCACUCCGUCGGUUACGACGAUGAGGGUUCCGGUUGAUCCGAAUCAACGGAACAGCCUGCUCGUGAAAUUAACGUGUAAAUGGCUGAGCACUCCACAGACACGUGCACCCUUAACGUAGUUCUCGGGGAUAUUCAGCGUGACAGAGAGAGUGACAAGGCCGGCCCUUUGAAAUACAGGUACAACAGAAACAGGAAGUAAGAGUGAGAGAAAGUUGUGGUGAAAGAGUACAGCAGGGAUCACCACCAUCCCCUGCCGGAGCCUCGUGGAGCUUUUAGGUGUUUUCGCUCAAUAAACACUCACAACGCCCGGUCUGGGAAUCGAAACCGCGAUCCUAUGACCGCGAGUCCGCUGCCCUAUCCACAGGGCCAAUGCGCCUCCACGUGAAAUUACUAUGUUAGUAUCAGCCCGAAUAUGUUUAAUGCACGUUCGAAUUGGGGAACAAGCCACUCAAUCACUUGGCCAUGUACCUCCACUUGUACACAUCAUAUACAUGAAUAAUUAUUUAAAGAGUAGCAACAUUGGGACCAGAAAUAUAUAUUGAAGUAAAUACAAAAAGGGACCUAUUCUCGUAAUAUUGAGAAUUACGAAAACAAAAAAAGAAAACUAGACUAAAUAAAGGAAAAAUAAAGUAUAUACUCUUUUUACUCUUUUACUUGUUUCAGUCACUUGACUGCGGCCAUGCUGGAGCACCGCCUUUUAGUCGAGCAAAUCGACCCCGGGACUUAUUCUUUGUAAGCCCAGUACUUAUUCUAUCGGUCUCUUUUGCCGAACCGCUAAGUGACGGGGACGUAAACACACCAGCAUCGGUUGUCAAGCAAUGCUAUGGGGACAAACACAGACGCACAACACACACACAUACAUAUAUAUAUAUAUAUACAUAUAUACGACGGGCUUCUUUUCAGUUUCUGUCUACCAAAUCCACUCACAAGGCAUUGGUCGGCCCGGGGCUAUAGCAGAAGACACUUGCCCAAGAUGCCACGCAGUGGGACUGAACCCGGAACCAUGUGGUUGGUUAGCAAGCUACUUACCACACAGCCACUCCUGCGCCUAUAUAUCAGUUUACUUAUAGAAAACAACAAAAAUGUAAAAGGAAAAAAGUCAUAAAAUAAAAUACUAAAUCAAACAAAAAGAAGAACACUUCAACGGUCAAUAGCCUGCAAUUGCUGGACAAAGGCGAAGUGAAUUAGUAUAAGAGUCACAAUAAUCCAAAGUGUUGAACAAAGACGGAAGCUGAGGAUAAGACUUUAGCCUAAGAUUAGUCACCAAAAAUAGUUACAAAUAUAAAAUAAUAUUUUCUAGCUCUAGGCACAAGGCCCGAAAUUUUGGGGGAGGGGGCCAGUCGAUUAGAUCGGCCCCAGUACGAAACUGGUACUUAAUUUAUUGACCUCGAAAGGAUAAAAGACAAAGUCGACCUCGGCGGAAUUUGAACUCAGAACAUAAAGACAGACGAAAUACCGAUUUCUUUACUACCCACAAGGGGAUAAACACAGAGGGGACAAGCAAGGACAGACACACGAAUUAAGUCGAUUACAUCGACCCCAGUGCAUAACUGGUACUUAAUUUACCGACUCCGAAAGGAUGAAAGGCCAAGUCGACCUCGGCGGAAUUUGAACUCAGAACGUAACGGCAGACGAAAUACCUAUUUCUUUAUUACCCACAAGGGGCUAAACAUAGAGGGGACAAACAAGGACAGACAUAGGUAUUAAGUCGAUUACAUCGACCCCAGUGCGUAACUGGUACUUUAAUUUACCGACUCCGAAAGGAUGAAAGGCCAAGUCGACCUCGGCGGAAUUUGAACUCAGAACGUAAAGACAGACGAAAUACCUAUUUCUUUAUUACCCACAAGGGGCUAAACACAGAGGGGACAAACAAGGACAGACAUAGAUAUUAAGUCGAUUACAUCCACCUCAGUGCGUAACUGGUACUUUAAUUUACCGACUCCGAAAGGAUGAAAGGCGAAGUCGACCUCGGCGGAAUUUGAACUCAGAACGUAACGGCAGACGAAAUACCGCUACGCAUUUCGCCCGGCGUGCUAACGUUUCUGCUAGCUCGCCGCCUAACAAAUAUGAAAUAAUGAAACGAGAAGCUGAGAUCGACUGUAAAACACGCAAUCAACACAAAUGAAGAACUGAUUCUAUAAUUUCUGGCUAUCCAAUUUAUUCAAAGCAAGAUAGAACAAACGCUGAUAUUGGCUUAAUCGACUAAAUGUAAUUUUGAAACUUCGAGUGACAUUCAGUCUUCAUGUGAAAGUCAAUCUUUGCCUUGUAAAAAUAUAGAUACAAAUGGCCCGCGAUUAAAAAAAUAUUUAGUGAUCCUUUAUUUCAAUAAUCAAGUUAUUUCCUAUAUAUAUUUGUGUGUGUUGUGUGUGAGUGCGUAAUGUAUGUAUAAAUGUAUAUAUUGUAAACACAUGCUCAUACUCACGCACACAAACAUAUACAUACAUACAUAUAUAUAUAUAUAUAUUCAUAUUUAUUUAUAGAUACACACACACACCUAUAUAUAUAUAUAUAUAUAUAUAUAUAUAUAUAUAUACAUAAAUAUAUAUAUAUAUAUGGCAAAUGAAAGGGGGAAGAUGGAAUAUACGAGAAUUCAUUUUUAAUCACGACAAUUGUUUCGACAUAUCUAGAAUUCGUUAUAUAUAUAUAUAUAUAUAUAUAUAUAUAUAUAUAUAUAUAUAUAUAUAUAUAUAUAUAUAUAUAUAUAUGGAUAUAUAUAUUGGAUAUUUGGAUUAACUGUUGAACUGGACGGACGUCUAUUUGUUUCUCUCCCGAGUCAGUAGCAAGCUACACAGCUUCAAAACUAACUGACCUUAAAUAUAUAUAUAUUUGUAACCACGUGUUUGCCUACAAACCCGUAAGUACGUUUUCAUUUAACUACAAAUUGUUAUAUACACCUGUUUUUCUUUUAAUAUCCUCAAACAACCAAAUAAUCAAAAACUCACACCCUUAAGAGAGAACAUUUAUAUAUAUAUACACUUCUUUAACUUCCAAGAAAGAAUAUAUAUAUUUUCAAAAAUCAAAAGGAAAACAAACAAAAGAAAAACAAACAUGACUAACUUGCAGGCCUGCAACAGACGAAAUUGGUCUGAUAACGAAAUUGAUGUUUUAAUAAACACAUGGCUCUCUCUUUCCCAAACAGAAAAUCUAAAUGUCUUGUGUUUGAAUGAGAUUGCCGAAAAAACAUCACAAGUGGUCAACACACGAUCCGUCAAACAGAUUCGUAGCAAGUUGAAACAUAUCGAAGUAUCUUUCAAACUGAUAAGAGGCCAUUAUGAAAAGCUUCUACAUAUUUUCACAGUUCAAGAACAACAACAGCUAGAAAAUCAGCAGCCACAACAACAACAACAACAGAAUGAGCCACUCCUGGUUCCCAACACAAUGGCUGACCCUGACAUCGGUCAGGCACAACAACAACAACAACAGCCACAGCAACAAGAACAACAACAGCCACUCCUCAACUCUAGCUUACUAGACGAUUCACUAAAUGCCAGUAUCUUUUCACCGCUCUCACAGCAACCACCACAAUUAUCAUCAUCAUCAUCACCACCGCUGCCACCAUCGUCUUCUAUCACCAAAAAUACCAACAGAAAACCAAAUAAGAAACCACUGCCCUCUUCCCCCACAUCACCACCUCAAUACUACUGCAGUAACAAAAACUUAAAGAAACAUAGGAAGCAGAAUGCGCCCCCCACGGCACAAACAAGAAAUCCCCAAAUAUGCCGCUAUUCACUGCGCCAGAGACUCUGCACAAAUAGUGACUGCAUCUUCACGCAUCUACCUGGCACUAGACGCACUACUGGCCAAGGCCAAAGCACGCAUCCCACAAUAACAUCAACACCACCAAAUAGUAAAUCGAAAUUCAAAACACACACAACUCGGAGUCCCAAAAUCUGCCGGUAUUCCCAACGUGAGAGAACAUGUCUACUGAGUGACUGUCCCUUCACUCAUCUUCCAGGGACCCGACGCACAAACAGAAACGGGGCCUCGAGCCAACACACAAACCUGAAUAACAAUAAAAAUAGAAACACACCAUGCUGCAGUAAUGCUGGUCCAGUCUUUUCAGGAAGACACAAAAACAACAACAACAAAAGUGGAAACUACAACCCUAUCCAACAGUGCAACCACACCUCCAGCCAAAAACUGCUCCCUAAGCAGGAAAAUUCUUUUUAGCCAUGUUGAACAUGGCAAAAGAGAUACACAAAAACAUUCUAGCCAUCACUCAACACCAUCCUAUGCUAUUACCCCAGUGCACCAAUUCCCCACAUUGCUGCCACUAACACACACAAAAAAUCCAAGCCCCCUGCAACAGUCAAAACCAGCCACUACACUAACCUCCACAUUCCUACUCAAUGCACAAGGUGUCAGCCCUUCCAUCAAUGCACAAAAAUGGAAGGUCCAAUUCAUUGAAGACUGGGUUGGUAACCAUUCACACCACAUCCCUUUCUUCAUUCUCACUGAGACCCACCUUGACAACUCCCACUUGGAAGCCGAAGUGAGAGUGAAGAAUUUCACAACCAUCCGCGCGGAUCGUAUCGGCAGGAGGAAGGGUGGAACUGCCAUUUUCCUGCAUGAUUCAUUUACGGCAGAUGGAAAUAGUAUAUUCUCCAACGGCUACUGUGAAUCAGUCACCGUGCACAACAAAGCCAAUGAUCUGACAGUAAUUGGGCUCUAUAGGCCGCCCCAAACACCCAUACUGUGCUUUAAAGAAUGCCUCAACAGCAUUAAGUGCUUUAUUCAACAGUGCCAUUCUAGCAACAUACUCAUGAUGGGAGACUUCAAUCUACCCUGUGUUGACUGGACUACAAACUGUUUGAAACCAAGCACUCCCGCCUCAACCGCUGACAAAGAAGCAGCAGAGUCACUUUUCGACUUUACGAAUGAGUUUUUCUUGUCCCAACUUGUCCUUGCACCAACAAGACAUCAGAACAUUUUGGACCUAGUGUUUAGUAACCACACUAACACUAUACAUAACGUUACAGUGGAAAAAACCCUUCUUUCAGACCAUGACAUGGUUCUCUGUAACAUGAAAUUCCACCAGCCGAAAGCUAAUCCUAGUGACCUUCCUCCAGCCCACCCAUUUGACAACAUGGAUCUCCAUAAAGCCAACUGGGAUGCAAUCAGGAACGAGCUAUCAAAUGUUGACUGGUCCUUUACACAUACACACAUCUCCACCAACCAUAAAACAUCUUGGCAGAUCUUUGUAGACACCGUCACAGACAUAUGUGCAAAACACUCCCCACCAAGACCUGUGAACAAAAAGUGCAGAAUCCCCCAAAACAGAAAAACCAUUAUCAGAAAAAUAAAAAGAACAAACAAAAAAAUUAACAAACUAAAGUACUGCCAACAGCAACACACACAUUCGACGGCUAUCGCACUGCUUGAAUCCAAAAAAUAUAACCUCCAACAAUGCAUGAAGUCCCUCAUCAAUAACCAAAGAUCAGCUGAGGAGAAGUGGGCCAUUGAAAAAAUCAAACUCAACCCCAAAGUGUUCUUUUCAUUUGCGAGGAAACGCAGGGUCACUGUCUCCACUGUAGGCCCUCUAAUUGACGAAACUGGCACUCUCCAAGAUAAUGCCAAAUCCAUGGCCGAGAUACUGCAGAAACAAUACUGCUCUGUUUUCAGCAAUCCUGAUAUGGCCGAUCUGGGCUGUAUCAGUGAUGUCAACCCCCAACACACUAUAUCGGACAUAACGUUUAGUGCCCCUGAUGUCUUAGCGGCGAUAAACGAAAUAAAACACAAUUCAGCAGUAGGCCCCGAUAGGUUCCCUGCUUGUGUCCUGAAGGUGUGUCGACACCAACUUGCAUCUCCCCUUGCUAAUCUGUGGAGAAACUCACUGGAUGCUGGCUAUAUUCCAAAAAACCUUCUGUCCCAGUCUGUUGUCCCAGUUUUCAAAAAGGGAAACAAGUCCCUUGCAGUGAAUUACCGUCCGAUCUCACUCACCUCUCAUAUCAUCAAGGUAUUUGAGAGGGUGGUGAGAUCUCAAAUAACCCAAUUUCUGGAAAGCAACAGACGGCUGAUCUCCAACCAACAUGGGUUCCGUAAUGGAAGGGACUGCCUAACGCAGCUCCUGCAUCACUUUGAGGACAUUUUGAGAGCUUUGGGAGAGGGCUCCAACACCGAUGUCAUCUACCUUGAUUUCAGUAAGGCCUUCGACAGGGUCGAUCACAAGAUCCUAUUGAAAAAACUAUCCAACAUUGGUGUCUCUGGAAAGUUACUGAAAUGGAUUAAGUGUUUCCUGACAGACAGAUCUCAACAUGUUGUAGUUGAAGGGGUAAAAUCAAGCCCAGCCAAAGUCAGUAGUGGCGUUCCGCAAGGCACUGUGCUGGGCCCACUUCUUUUCAUCAUUUACAUUAAUGACAUUAAUGACAUCAUCAAGCACAGCAACAUAAAAAUCUUUGCAGAUGACUCCAAGAUACAGAAGGUCAUAAAUGAGGCGAGUGACCGGACAUGCCUUCAGUCAGAUCUACUGGCUGUUAUCCAAUGGGCAGAAAAAAACAAUAUGCUGCUGAACGAGGAUAAAUUUGAGCUAAUCCACUUUGGAAAAGAGGAUGCCCUGAAACUCCCAUACUCCCUUCCUUCAGGUGAAACUCUCGCGGCGUCCAACAACAUCAGAGACUUGGGAGUAAUUGUGGACAACAACGUAAGCUGGGCCACUCAUAUAAACACCAAAGUUGACAUGGCCCGCAGAAUGUGUUCCUGGAUUCUCAGAACUUUCCAGUCGAGAGAUAUCCACACCAUUAUCCUUCUCUUCUCCACUUUUGCCCGACCCCACCUUGAAUACUGUUGUCCACUGUGGUCUCCCCACACAAUACAAGGUAUCAAAAAAGUCGAAGCACCUCAAAGGGCAAUCACAAAAAAGAUAGAUGGCAUGACAGGCCUCGACUAUUGGGGUCGACUAGAAAAGCUAAAACUCUAUUCUCUCCAACGUCGUCGUGAGCGCUACAUCAUCUGCAUGAUGUGGAAAAUAUUCCAUCAGCAUUGCCCAAAUGAUGUUGGCAUCACCUUUAAGGUACAUCCAAGGCUUGGGCCCCGUGCCAUCCGCCCAAAACAAAAAUCGCACUCUCAUCUCAUAACAACAAUACGGCACAAUUAUUUCACCUCAAUUGGCCCCGCUCUCUUUAACAUUACACCAAAACACAUUAAAACAGAAACUGACCCUAUAGGGUUCAAGAAGUCUUUGGACAGAUUCCUUCAAGAAAUCCCGGAUAAACCCCCUACACCCGGAUAUGUCUCUGUAAACAAUAACUCUCUACUUGAGUGGGCCAUAGUGCCCAAAUUCUGACUUGAAAGACUUCACCAGGUGGUGCUAUUAAGUUAGACAUGGCCUGGGCCAAUAAUGGCCGAAACCUAUCAAAGUAUCAAAGUAUAUAUAUAUAUAUAAAUGUUAAGCAGAAUUUCAGAUAGGUUCAACAAUUUAUUUAUACAUAUACUCUGCCAUAGAUUAAUGCAUAUCAGUCUUUAAAAUAUACCAAUAUAUCCGUCGUUAAAAUAUUGAACACAUUAAAGAAUUCAGGAAUACACAAAUACAUAAAAAUAAUCUAAUGUAUAUAUAUAUAUAUAUAUAUAUAUAUAUAUAUAUAUAUAUAUAUAUGUAUAUAUAUAUAUGGAUGAGUGUAAAUAUGUUAGAACAGCGUUGUAAAAAUUAAGAAUAAAAGUAUGCCCUUACAAAAGUAGUACCUAUACAAUAAACAAAGGAAUUUUACUAUAUAUAUAUAUAAUUCUCUAUAAGCAAAUGUUAAAUAAUAUUAUAAUCGUUGCUUUUUAUUAUUUGAGCUCUUUUGCAAAGCAUGUUGCAAUGGAAUGAUAUUAUAUAAAAAAUUCUCAAAAGCUUAGUAAGAUUUUCGAGAUGUUUUCAAGAAGGUGUAUUUAACGAGCGUUUGUCCAAAUAAAAGCAGAAAUUUUUACUUUUCCAGUCGUUAGUUAAGACAUCCAAUUAUUUUGGGGAUUAUUAUAUUCAAUUAUAAAUAUUCUGAAUUUGCAUAUUUAUUCCAUACUUGUUGAGUUCUUCAGUAAAGAGAAUAAUCAUUUACAGAAAAAGAUAUUAAACUGUUGAGUCUUAAACUCAUCAUUUCUUACAUUUUGUUAUUUUGCUCAUUUCAUUUAGUAAAUUUUCAAUUAUUUUAUUUCCAU